rnacentral:tRNA from 1 species
GGGGUCAUAGCUCAGUGGUAGAGCACAUGCUUAGCAUGCACAAGGUCCUGGGUUCAAUCCCCAGUACCUCCA